UACGGGGGGCUGCAGUGGGGAAUAUUGGACAAUGGGCGAAAGCCUGAUCCAGCCAUGCCGCGUGUGUGAAGAAGGUCUUCGGAUUGUAAAGCACUUUAAGUUGGGAGGAAGGGCAUUAACCUAAUACGUUAGUGUUUUGACGUUACCGACAGAAUAAGCACCGGCUAACUCUGUGCCAGCAGCCGCGGUAAUACAGAGGGUGCAAGCGUUAAUCGGAAUUACUGGGCGUAAAGCGCGCGUAGGUGGUUUGUUAAGUUGGAUGUGAAAGCCCCGGGCUCAACCUGGGAACUGCAUCCAAAACUGGCAAGCUAGAGUACGGUAGAGGGUGGUGGAAUUUCCUGUGUAGCGGUGAAAUGCGUAGAUAUAGGAAGGAACACCAGUGGCGAAGGCGACCACCUGGACUGAUACUGACACUG
rnacentral:rRNA from 1 species